UGUAUGCAAUCGAAGAAUUCCCCAUCCUUCACAUCAGAUUUUGCAUUGCUUGAUCUGUAGGGGAAUAAAAGAAAGACAAGGUAACUAUUUCGAAUGUAUUUCCAUUCAACUUUUUGUGCUACCUGAAUGUUCUCUAAUGUGAUCUGAUGGUGGGAAUGCAUGCACUGGUCCGUUUGGUGCUUAGCUUGCGCACACUUGUUCCAUAAACGAUUUUGGUAUUCUGCAUUUAUUUUCUUGCUUACUUCCAUUUUUGAGCAGCUCAUACAUAGGACAAGAAGUACAUGAUAUUAAGAUGUGAGAUUAAUAUUGAUGGAAUAACAUCCAAUCAUGCGAUAAAUGCCUUUCGGUCAUCUUGCUGAAGAUAUGCUACGAAAGUAGGCUGCUAUUAUGGUUAUAGAAUCUUAUGCAUAUUAGAUUCUUUUGUUUAUACCUACACAGUUGGCUUUUAUGGUUUUUUGAACUAUGGACACUGAUUGAUUUAGCUAAUAAGAUAUUUUUUUCCAUUUUUUCAUCGUUGGAUGCGAGUCGCUUUUAUCCCAUGGGGCUCUCGGCUCAUCGGUUUCUCUCUCCCUACUAACUGAGGCGCGUCGAAGAUAUCAGAAGCGGAAGCACAACCCAACAAGAAGAGGAAAUAAAUCAGUAACAGGACGAUCCUGAUGGACAUG